UACGUAUUGUUCACGCGUUAAUCGGAAUUACUGGGCGUAAAGCGUGCGCAGGCGGUUUUGUAAGUCUGUCGUGAAAGCCCCGGGCUUAACCUGGGAAUUGCGAUGGAGACUGCAAGGCUUGAAUCUGGCAGAGGGGGGUAGAAUUCCACGUGUAGCAGUGAAAUGCGUAGAGAUGUGGAGGAACACCGAUGGCGAAGGCAGCCCCCUGGGUCAAGAUUGACGCUCAUGCACGAAAGCGUGGGGAGCAAACAGGAUUAGAUAACCUAGUAGUCC
rnacentral:rRNA from 1 species